rnacentral:rRNA from 1 species
GACGAACGCUGGCGGCGCGCUUAACACAUGCCAGUCGAACGGAAAGGCCUGCUUUCCCUUGUGGAUUGCGGGUACUCGAGUGGCGAACGGGUGAGUAACACGUGAGUGAUCUGCCCCCAACUUGGGUAUAAGCCUGGGAAACUGGGUCUAAUUCCCGAUAGGACUGCAGGGUGGUGCCUGUGGUGGAAAACGAUUUUCUAGUGGUUGGGGAUGAGCUCGCGGCCUAUCAGCUUGUUGGUGGGGUAAUGGCCUACCAAGGCGGCGACGGGUAGCCGGCCUGGGAGGGUGGACGGCCACAUUGGGACUGAGAUACGGCCCAGACUCCUACGGGAGGCAGCAGUGGGGAAUAUUGCACAAUGGGCGGAAGCCUGAUGCAGCGACGCCGCGUGGGGGAUGACGGCCUUCGGGUGGUAAACUCCUUUCGACCGCGAGGAAGCCACCUGGUUGGAAGGGUGGUGACGGUAGUGGUAGAAGAAGCACCGGCUAACUACGUG